UAUGGGGUUUUGGGUUCUCUAUGGGGUUUUGUGGCCCCCUAUGUGGUGUUUGGGGUCCCUAUGGGGUUUUUGGGGUCCCUAUGGGGAUUUGGGGUCUCUCUAUAGGGCUUGGGGUCCUUUAUGGGGUUUUGGGGUCCCCCCCUGACGCCGAUUUUGGGGUCCCCCCCCCCAGCAAAACCUGGAGCUGCAGCGGCGCAGCCACGCGGCCCCCCCGGAGGGGGUGGAGAGGAGCGACAUGGAGGUGGGUGGGGGGCUCUAUGGGGUCACUAUGGGGUCGCUAUGGGGUGUUAUGGGGUCUCUAUGGGGUCUCUGUGGGGUAAUAUGGGGGCUCUAUGGGGUCUCUAUGGGGUAAUAUGGGGUCUCUAUGGGGUCUCUGUGGGGUAAUAUGGGGUCUCUCUGGGGUCUCUAUGGGUCUCCUUGGGUCUCUACAGGUCUGUGGGGUCUCUAUGGGUCUCUAUGGGGGCUCUAUAGGGUCUCUAUGGGGUGUUAUGGGGUCUCUAUGGGGUCUCUAUGGGGUAAUAUGGGGUCUCUGGGUCUCUAUGGGGUCUCUAUGGGGUAAUAUGGGGUCUCUAUGGGGUAAUAUGGGGUCUCUAUGGGGUCUCUAUGGGGUAAUAUGGGGUCUCUAUGGGGUCUCUAUGGGGUAAUAUGGGGUCUCUAUGGGUCUCUAUGGGUCUCUAUGGGGUCUCUAUGGGGUAAUAUGGGGUCUCUAUGGGUCUCUAUGGGGUCUCUAUGGGGUAAUAUGGGGGCUCUAUGGGGUAAUAUGGGGUCUCUGGGUCUCUAUGGGGUCUCUAUGGGGUAAUAUGGGGGCUCUAUGGGGUAAUAUGGGGUCGCUAUGGGGUCUCUAUGGGGUAAUAUGGGGUCUCUAAGGGGUCUCUAUGGGGUAAUAUGGGGUCGCUAUGGGGUGUUAUGGGGUCUCUAUGGGGUCUCUAUGGGGUAAUAUGGGGUCUCUAUGGGUCUCUAUGGGGUCUCUAUGGGGUAAUAUGGGGGCUCUAUGGGGUAAUAUGGGGUCGCUAUGGGGUCUCUAUGGGGUAAUAUGGGGUCUCUAUGGGUCUCUAUGGGGUCUCUAUGGGGUAAUAUGGGGGCUCUAUGGGGUAAUAUGGGGUCUCUGGGUCUCUAUGGGGUCUCUAUGGGGUAAUAUGGGGGCUCUAUGGGGUAAUAUGGGGUCGCUAUGGGGUCGCUAUGGGGUAAUAUGGGGGCUCUAUGGGGUAAUAUGGGGUCUCUAUGGGGUAAUAUGGGGGCUCUAUGGGGUAAUAUGGGGGCUCUAUGGGGUAAUAUGGGGUCGCUAUGGGGUGUUAUGGGGUCUCUAUGGGGUCUCUAUGGGGUAAUAUGGGGUCUCUAUGGGGUCUCUAUGGGGUGCUAUGGGGUUUCUGUGGGGUGUUAUGGGGUUCUAUGGGGUCUCUAUUCGGUCUCUAUGGGGUGUUAUGGGGUUCUAUGGGGUCUCUAUGGGGUAAUAUGGGGUCUCUAUGGGGUUUCUAUGGGAUCUCUAUGGGGUAAUAUGGGGUCACUAUGGGUCUCUAUGGGGUGUUAUGGGGUCUCUAUGGGGUAAUAUGGGGGCUCCAUGGGUCUCUAUGGGUCUCUAUUGCGUUCUAUGGGGUCUCUAUGGGGUGUUAUGGGGUCUCUAUGGGGUUCUACGGGGAUUCUAUGGGGUGUUAUGGGGUCGCUAUGGGGUCACUAUGGGGUCUCUAUGGGGUGUUAUGGGGUCUCUAUGGGUCUCUAUGGGGUGUUAUGGGGUCUCUAUGGGGUAAUAUGGGGUCUCAAUGGGGUCUCUAUGGGGUAAUAUGGGGUCUCUUUGGGGUCUGAAUGGGUCCCUAUGGGGUCUCUAUGGGGUAAUAUGGGGUCUCUAUGGAGUGUUAUGGGGGCUCUAUGGGUCUCUUUGGGGUCUCUAUGGGUCUCUAUGGGGUUCUAUGGGGUCUCUAUGGGGUGUUUUGGGGUCUCUAUGGCGUAAUAUGGGGUCUCUAUGGGGUAAUAUGGGGCCUCUAUGGGGUGUUAUGGGGGCUCUAUAGGGUCUCUAUGGGUCUCUAUGGGGGCUCUAAAGGGUCUCUAUGGGGUGUUAUGGCAUUCUAUGGGGUAAUAUGGGGUCGCUAUGGGGUCUCUAUGGGGUGUUAUGGGGUCUCUAUGGGGUUUCUAUGGGGUCUCUAUGGGGUAAUAAGGGGUCUCUAUAGGGGCUCUAUGGGGUCUCAAUGGGGUGUUAUGGGGUCUCUAUGGGGUAAUAUGGGGUCUCUUUGGGGUCUCUAUGGGUCCCUAUGGGGUCUCUAUGGAGUAAUAUGGGGGCUCUAUGGGGUCUCUAUGGGGUCUCUAUGGGUCUCUAUGGGUCUUUAUGUUUCUCUAUGGGGUCUCUAUGGGUCUCUAUGUGUCUCUAUGGGGUCCCUAUGUGGUCCCUAUGAGUCCCUAUGGGGUCCCUAUGGGUCUCUGUGUGUCUCUAUGGGUCCCAAUGUGUCCCUAUGGGUCCCUAUGGGGUCUCUAUGGGUCUCUAUGUGUUCCUAUGUGUCUCUAUGGGUCCCUAUGGGUCUCUAUGGGUCUCUAUGUAUCCCUAUGGGGUCUCUAUGGGUCUCUAUGGGGUCCCUAUGGGUGUCUGUGUGUCUCUAUGGGUCCCAAUGUGUCCCUAUGUGUCCCUAUGGGGUCUCUAUGGGUCUCUAUGGGGUCUCUAUGGGUCUCUAUGUGUUGCUAUGUGUCUCUAUGGGUCCCUAUGGGGUGUCUAUGUGUCUCUAUGGGGUCUCUAUGGGUCUCUAUUGGUCUCUAUGUGUCUCUGUGGGGUCCCAAUGUGUCCCUAUGGGUCCCUAUGGGGUCUCUAUGGGUCUCUAUGUGUUCCUAUGUGUCUCUAUGGGUCCCUAUGGGUCCCUAUGGGUCUCUAUGGGUCUCUAUGUAUCCCUAUGGGGUCUCUAUGGGUCUCUGUGGGGUCCCUAUGGGUCUCUGUGUGUCUGUAUGGGUCCCAAUGUGUCCCUAUGUGUCCCUAUGGGGUCUCUAUGGGUCUCUAUGGGGUCUCUAUGGGUCUCUAUGUGUCCUUAUGUGUCUCUAUGGGUCUCUAUGGGUCUCUAUGGGUCCCUAUGUGUUCCUAUGUGUCUCUAUGGGUCUCUAUGGGGUCUCUGUGGGUCUCUAUGGGUCUCUAUGGGGUCUCUAUGGGUCUCUAUUGGUCUCUAUGUGUCUCUGUGGGGUCUCUAUGGGUCCCUAUGGGUCUCUAUGGGUCUCUAUGCAUCCCUAUGGGGUCUCUAUGGGUCUCUAUGGGUCUCUAUGUGUCCCUAUGGGUCUCUAUGCAUCCCUAUGGGGUCUCUAUGGGUCCCAAUGUGUCCCGAUGGGGUCUCUAUGGGGUCUCUAUGGGUGUCUAUGGGUCUCUAUGCAUCCCUAUGGGGUCUCUAUGGGUCUCUAUGGGUCCCUAUGGGGUCCCUAUGGGUCUCUGUGUGUCUCUAUGGGUCCCAAUGUGUCCCUAUGGGUCCCUAUGGGGUCUCUAUGUGUCUCUAUGGGGUCUCUAUGGGUCUCUAUGGGUCUCUGUGGGGUCUAUAUGUGUCUCUAUGGGGUCUCUAUGGGUCUCUAUGCGUCUCUAUGGGGUCUCUAUGUGUCUCUAUGGGGUCUCUGUGGGUCUCUAUGGGUCUCUAUGGGGUCUCUAUGGGUCUCUAUGGGUCUCUAUGUGUCUCUAUGGGGUCUCUAUGGGUCUCUAUGGGGUCUCUAUGGGGUCUCAGUGUGUCCCUAUGGGUCUCUGUGUGUCUCUGUGUGUGUCUACGGGGGCUCUAUGGGGUCCCUAUGGGUCCCUAUGGGUCUGUAUGGGUCUCUAUGUGUCUCUAUGGGGUCCCUAUGGGGUGUCUAUGGGUCCCUAUGUGUCUCUAUGGGUCUCUAUGGGUCCCUAUGGUGUCCCUAUGAGUCCCUAUGGUGUCCCUAUGGGGUCUCUAUGGGUCUCUAUGGGUCUCUAUGGGGUCUCUAUGGGGGCUCUAUGGGUCUCUAUGGGUCUCUAUGGGUCUCUAUGGGGUCCCUAUGGGGUCUCUAUGGGUCUCUGUGUGUUGCUUUGUGUCUCUAUGGGUCCCUUUUGGUCUCUAUGGGUCUCUAUGCAUCUCUAUGGGGUCUCUAUGGGUCUCUAUGUGUCCCUGUGGGUCUCUAUGGGGUCCCUAUGGGGUCCCUAUGGGUCCCAAUGUGUCCCGAUGGGGUCUCUAUGGGGUCUCUAUGGGUGUCUAUGGGUCUCUAUGGGGUCUCUGUGGGGUCUCUAUGUGUUGCUAUGUGUCUCUAUGGGUUCCUAUGGGGUCUCUAUGGGUCUCUUUGGGGUCUCUAUGGGGUCUCUAUGGGUCCCUAUGGGGUCUCUAUGCAUCCCUAUGGGGUCUCUAUGGGUCCCAAUGUGUCCCUAUGGGUCCCUAUGGGGUCCCUAUGUGUCUCUAUGGGGUCUCUAUGGGUCUCUAUGGGUCUCUAUGGGUCUCUGUGGGGUCUAUAUGUGUCUCUAUGGGGUCUCUAUGGGUCUCUAUGUGUCUCUAUGGGGUCCCUAUGUGUCUCUAUGGGUCCCUAUGGGUCUCUAUGGGUCUCUAUGCAUCCCUAUGGGGUCUCUAUGGGUCUCUAUGGGUCUCUAUGUGUCCCUAUGGGUCUCUAUGGGGUCCCUAUGGGGUCUCUAUGGGUCCCAAUGUGUCCCGAUGGGGUCUCUAUGGGGUCUCUAUGGGUCUCUAUGGGUCUCUAUGCAUCCCUAUGGGGUCUCUAUGGGUCUCUAUGGGGUCUCUAUGGGUCUCUAUGUGUUGCUAUGUGUCUCUAUGGGUUCCUAUGGGGUGUCUAUGUGUCUCUAUGGGGUGUCUAUGGGUCUCUAUGUGUCUCUAUGGGGUUCCUAUGGGGUCGCUAUGGGGUUUGUGCCCCCCAGCUGAAGUACCGGGACCGCGCAGCCGAACGCCGCGAGAAAUAUGGGGUCCCCGACCCCCCCGAACCCAAAAAGAGGAAAUUUGGGGGUCCCCCCCCCGGCAGCGGGUGAGGAAACGGCGCCCCCCCCCCCCAAAAUAAUGGGGACCCCCCACCCCAAUAAUGGGGACCCCUUAAGUAAUGGGGACCCCAAUAGAUAAUGGGGACCCCCCAUAUUAAUGGGGACCCCUUAAAUAAUGGGGACCCCAAUAGAUAAUGGGGACCCCCCCAUAUUAAUGGGGACCCCCUUAAAUAAUGGGAACCCCCCAAAUAAUGGGAACCCCCCUAUAUUAAUGGGGACCCCCCUUAAUUAAUGGAACCCCCCCUUAUUAAUGGGGACCCCCUUAAAUAAUGGGGACCCCCCCUAAAUUAAUGGAACCCCCUCUUAUUAAUGGGGACCCCCCAAAUAAUGGGGACCCCAUUAAAUAAUGGGGACCCCCCUUAAUGGAACCCCCCCUUAUUAAUGGGGACCCCCUUAAAUAAUGGGGACCCCAUUAGAUAAUGGGGACCCCCCCAUAUUAAUGGGGACCCCCCAAAUAAUGGGGACCCCCCUAUAUUAAUGGGGACACCCCCUUAAUUAAUGGAACCCCCCCAUAUUAAUGGAACCCCCUUAAAUAAUGGGGACCCCAAUAGAUAAUGGGGACCCCCCCAUAUUAAUGGGGACCCCCUUAAAUAAUGGGGACCCCCCCUAAAUUAAUGGAACCCCCUCUUAUUAAUGGGGACCCCCCAAAUAAUGGGGACCCCCCCAUAUUAAUGGGGACCCCCCCAUA
ensembl:lncRNA